rnacentral:rRNA from 1 species
UACGAAGGGGGGCUAGUGUUGUUCGGAUUUACUGGGCGUAAAGCGCACGUAGGCGGAUUGUUAAGUCAGGGGUGAAAUCCUGGAGCUCAACUCCAGAACUGCCUUUGAUACUGGCAAUCUUGAGUCCGGAAGAGGUGAGUGGAACUCCUAGUGUAGAGGUGGAAUUCGUAGAUAUUAGGAAGAACACCAGUGGCGAAGGCGGCUCACUGGUCCGGUACUGACGCUGAGGUGCGAAAGCGUGGGGAGCAAACAGG